rnacentral:rRNA from 1 species
AGCGAACGCUGGCGGCAGGCCUAACACAUGCAAGUCGAGCGCUCGUGGCAAUACGAGAGCGGCAGACGGGAGAGUAACACGUGGGAACGUACCCUUCAGUUCGGAACAACCCAGGGAAACUUGGGCUAAUACCGGAUACGUCCGUAAGGAGAAAGAUUUAUCGCUGAAGGAUCGGCCCGCGUCUGAUUAGCUUGUUGGUGAGGUAACGGCUCACCAAGGCGACGAUCAGUAGCUGGUCUGAGAGGAUGAUCAGCCUCACUGGGACUGAGACACGGCCCAGACUCAUACGGGAGGCAGCAGUGGGGAAUAUUGGACAAUGGGCGCAAGCCUGAUCCAGCCAUGCCGCGUGGGUGAUGAAGGCACUAGGGUUGUAAAGCCCUUUCGGCGGGGAAGAUAAUGACGGUACCCGCAGAAGAAGCCCCGGCUAACUUCGUGCCAGCCGCCGCCGUAAGAC